AUUGAACGCUGGCGGCAGGCUUAACACAUGCAAGUCGAGCGGAGAUGAGGUGCUUGCACCUUAUCUUAGCGGCGGACGGGUGAGUAAUGCUUAGGAAUCUGCCUAUUAGUGGGGGACAACAUUCCGAAAGGAAUGCUGAUACCGCAUACGUCCUACGGGAGAAAGCAGGGGAUCUUCGGACCUUGCGCUAAUAGAUGAGCCUAAGUCGGAUUAGCUAGUUGGUGGGGUAAAGGCCUACCAAGGCGACGAUCUGUAGCGGGUCUGAGAGGAUGAUCCGCCAAACUGGGACUGAGACACGGCCCAGACUCCUACGGGAGGCAGCAGUGGGGAAUAUUGGACAAUGGGGGGAACCCUGAUCCAGCCAUGCCGCGUGUGUGAAGAAGGCCUUAUGGUUGUAAAGCACUUUAAGCGAGGAGGAGGCUACUGAGACUAAUACUCUUGGAUAGUGGACGUUACUCGCAGAAUAAGCACCGGCUAACUCUGUGCCAGCCGCCGCGGUAAAAC
rnacentral:rRNA from 1 species